AUGAGAAAUACUGGGCUGGAUGAAGCACUGGCUGGAAUCAAGAUUUCUGGGAGAAAGAUCAAUAACCUCAGAUAUGCAGAUCACACCACACUUCUGUCCGAAAGUGAAGAAGAACUAAAGAGCCUCUUGAUGAAAUCACAGAAACACUGGAUAGUACCAGUGAUUUUGGCAGAACCAGUAUUCCAAACUGGAAGAGGUUCUCUGUAUUUAAUUUCCUCUCCGGAAGUUUACCUUCAGAAGUCCAAGUGUGAGGUCAAUCCUUGGGUUGCCGGAAAUGUAAUGUCCUUUACUGUCUGAGCACCCAGACAGCACUUAAUGAAACAUCCUACUUUGCGGACAUUGCUGCUGCUGCUUCUGAAUUAUGAGGCUUGCCAUGCUUCACUUCUUCAGUGGAUAGCUUUAUUUCUGCAAAGUGCAUAGAAUGAAGUUGUAGCCUGCAGUCACUGAAAGACCUAAAUGAAUGUGUAAGAAUGACCACAAGGCACCAGGCGUGGGUGUAUUUAUCCGUUUGUCUCAUUACUAAGAGGUUUUAGUUCCAAAAAAUAUCCGGAAGGAUUUAGUUUUGGGGAAGUGGGGAGGGAGAAGGAGUGGAGUAAGAUUUUUAAAUUUUUAAACAAUUUAUUUGAGCUUCCUAUUGGUACAUUCUAUUUUCUUUGCAUCAGAAUCAGAAUUUUUUAAGGGACUCAAAGAUUUUCAAACCAGUGUCCAUAGGCAUUAGAGAGUUGAUUUUGGAAGUUUUUAGUAUGUUAACAAAAAGGCAUUUUAUUUCAAAGAUAAUUGGAAAUUGAAAAGUUUAAAUAUAAGUUAUUAAAACAACAAUUAUGACAUUUUGUGGCCCAGAAACACGCUGGUCUUGGUGGCACAUGCUCUGCUGCAUGCAAGCUGAUCCGUUUACAUAUGGCAAGCCAAAAAGUUUGCUUUACAUUGCAUCAUACAGAAAAACCCGAACAAACUUUUUGGCUCACUCAAUAGUUCUAGCUGAUAUUUUCCUUGCCAAGGAGGUCAUGUGUUUUUCAUUGAUAGAGGAAAAAUGAAGCCACUUUCUCUCUUUGCAGAGCCAGCGUAGGACAGUGGUAAAAAUAUUCAGUUCUAGACUCAGACUGCUAGGGUUAAAAUCAAAGCUCUGCCUCUAUCAAAUUCCGUGGCCUUGGCAAGUUAGUUAACCUCUCUGUGCUGCUGUUUUAUUUGUGUUAUUAAAACAGGGAUGAUAAUAAAAUGAUCUAUCUUGCGGGGUUAUUAUGAAGAUUAAAAUGAAAGAAUCAUGAUAAGCAUUUGACACAUGAGAUCAAUAUAUGUAAUUCUUCAAAAUUUACAUAUAGUCAUAUUCACCUUUUUCUGGUGUAUAGUCCUAUGAAUUUUAAUACAUGCAUGUUAUAAUCACCAACACAACAGGAAGCAGAAUAAUUUCAAUACCCAAAGAAUUCACUUAUGCUGCCUCUUUCUAGUCAGAUGCUAGUGACACUCCCCUAUCUCCUCCAGAUCCUAACCCCUGGCUACAACUGAUGUGUCUUAUGUCCCUGUGGUUUUGCCCUUUCUCAAAAUAUCAUAUAAAUGGGAUUAUACUGUAUGUGACCUUUUGAGACUGACAUUUUUCAUUUAGCAUGAUGCCUUUGUGGGACAAUCUGAUUUAUACAGAAUCUUAUCUGAAGGGCUGAUUUCAUGGAAAAAGGAUUAGGUGAGAAGUGUUUUUUUUUUUAAAGGAUCAUUAAAGGGAAGAAAAGCUCAGAUUAAUCUUAUCCAAAGGAGAGUUUGGCUUAGUAUGAGAAAGGAAAUUUUCAGAGUUAUCAAAAUAGGAUACACCUUUAAGAAGAAAUUCUUUCCCUGCUAUUAGGGUCUAGAGACCUAAGUCAAAAAGCCACUUGGAAGGCCUGGUGUAGAAAUAUAUGAGUCAAAUAUGAAUUAACUGAGAGGAAAGUGUGUUUGUGUAUGGAAGCUUGGAAUAGGGUAAGGUGUUGGAAGGUAACAAACAAUCCCAAAUAAUCAGUGAAUGUAAUCAUACUAGCUCUGUAUCUUACAGGUGCAAAUUAACUAUUGUUUGGUACAGAGGGGACUUGGACCUUAAUCACUUCCAUGGCUGACCUGUAUAACUGGGCAGGUUAGGUAGCUGCUAUUAUGAAACAGAGAAGUAAUCUUAACCAGGAUUGGAAGAGUGGGGGUGCAGUGGGGUGGGUGGGGGAAACAGCAAGACCGAAGGAAGGGAAAGAGCUCAAAUGGAGGCUGAACAGAUAAAGUGGCAAUUGGUGAGGCUGCAGUUGUAGGUCAAUGUACUGAUCAACUGGUGCCAGGGGCAGCAAUUACCAUCACAUGUUACAAAUAUCAUGUGCCUUCUAAUUUACACAGACACACAAACACAUAUUAUGCAUAUGAAUGUGUUUUUCAUUUGAUCUAUCUUUAUUCUGUAAAUCAGCUAACUUGCCCCUAGAAAAUGUAAUGUUUACCGUAUUAACUACGGUUUUCUGGGCAUAUACCAGGGUCAUUUAUAUACUAUUUAAUUUAAUCCUUGAGUCAAGACUCUGUGGGAGAAAUAACUUUUUCCAUUUGAUAGAUGAGGAAAUUGAGGUCCUGAGAUAUGAAGUGACUUACCCAGAGAAACAGAGAUAGUGAAUGAUGGCAGAGUCAAAUUUUGUUGUGUCUGUUUAGAGCUUUGCCUUUGCUGGGCUUUUUCUUUACUCUGCUUUCACAUGAUGAGAGUGGUUGGACUUGGAAUCUUUUUGAAAAUCCAUGAUCUAUUUUUAAAUAUGAGGUGACAUAAUAUCUUAUAUUUCAGUGUAUUCUAUAAUGACACUUUCUCUUUGAACGUUUGUUGUUAUUUUUUAGUGGUAAUGAUACUUUUCAACCAUAGUUACCAAUUGAGCUUAGUAAGAAGUUUAGGAAAGGAACAAUAAACUAUGGAAAAUCUGAGAAUCAGAAGACCUAAGCUAUAACUCCAGUUCUGUUCUUUAUAGCUGCCUGAGCUCUCUCAGCUUUGUGUUCUUUGGUGAAUUUAAAGUGAUAAUACAGGGAUUCCCUGGUGGUUCAGUGGUGAAGAAUCCAUCUGCCAGUGCAGGAGACACGGGUUUGAUCCCUGUUCUGAGAAGAUCCCACACGCCUCAGAGAAACUAAGGCCAUGUACCACACUAUUGAGUCUGUGCUCUAGAACUUGGGAGCUACAACUACUGAGCCCAUGUGCCACAACUAGAGAGAAGCCAGCGCGUCCCACAGCCAGUGUUCUGCAACAAGAGAAGCCAGGACAAUGAGAAGUCUGCUCACCAAACUGGAGAGUGGCCCCUGCUCACCACAACUAGAGAAAAGCUGGCACAGCAAUGAAGACCCAGAGCAACCAAAAUAAAUAAAUAAAAAUGUUAAAUCGUGAUAAUACCAAUUUCCCAGGGUUAUUAUCUGAUUUAAAAGAGGAAAUGUAUGGCUAAAUGCUUAGCUAUGCUUAUCACACGGGAGGCAUUUAAUAGGAGUUUGAGAAAUUAGAUGAAAAUAUAAAGGACUUUUAAUUUCAAGACUUAAAGCAUAAGAAUAAAGGAUUUAUUUAUUUGAAUUAUAGUCAGUUUGGGGUUCUGGUCUAUGCUUGGUGAUUGUAGAGUAGACUAUACAUGACUAUUUUGUUUAUAUUCAACUAAAUCUUAUGCAUUUCAGUGUAUUCUAUAAUGACACUUUCUCUUUGAACGUUUGUUGUUAUUUUUAGUGGUAAUGAUACUUUUCAACCAUAGUUACCAAUUGAGCUUAGUAAGAAGUUUAGGAAAGGAACAAUAAACUAUGGAAAAUCUGAGAAUCAGAAGACCUAAGCUAUAACUCCAGUUCUGUUCUUUAUAGCUGCCUGAGCUCUCUCAGCUUUGUGUUCUUUGGUGAAUUUAAAGUGAUAAUACAGGGAUUCCCUGGUGGUUCAGUGGUGAAGAAUCCAUCUGCCAGUGCAGGAGACACGGGUUUGAUCCCUGUUCUGAGAAGAUCCCACACGCCUCAGAGAAACUAAGGCCAUGUACCACACUAUUGAGUCUGUGCUCUAGAACUUGGGAGCUACAACUACUGAGCCCAUGUGCCACAACUAGAGAGAAGCCAGCGCGUCCCACAGCCAGUGUUCUGCAACAAGAGAAGCCAGGACAAUGAGAAGUCUGCUCACCAAACUGGAGAGUGGCCCCUGCUCACCACAACUAGAGAAAAGCUGGCACAGCAAUGAAGACCCAGAGCAACCAAAAAUAAAUAAAUAAAAAAUGUUAAAUCGUGAUAAUACCAAUUUCCCAGGGUUAUUAUCUGAUUUAAAAGAGGAAAUGUAUGGCUAAAUGCUUAGCUAUGCUUAUCACACGGGAGGCAUUUAAUAGGAGUUUGAGAAAUUAGAUGAAAAUAUAAAGGACUUUUAAUUUCAAGACUUAAAGCAUAAGAAUAAAGGAUUUAUUUAUUUGAAUUAUAGUCAGUUUGGGGUUCUGGUCUAUGCUUGGUGAUUGUAGAGUAGACUAUACAUGACUAUUUUGUUUAUAUUCAACUAAAUCUUAUGCAUAUAAGUAUAAAUCUACUAUAGUUAGAUCAACAAGGUAUACAUUGAAUGAAUUAAAUUUAAGUAUGGGAUGGUAUAUAGAUUUCCAUGAUAGUUCACACCUAAAGCUAUAUAAACUUGACACCAAUCUUCUCUCCUUUUAAUUGUGCUCAUAUUGAAACUAAUAAAUAUCUCGGGAGAUUUCAUUCAGUUCAGUUCAGUUCAGUCGCUCAGUCGUGUCUGACUCUUUGUGACCCCAUGAAUCGCAGCAUGCCAGGCCUCCCUGUCCAUCACCAACUCCUGGAGUUCACUCAGAC
rnacentral:lncRNA from 1 species